ACGCUCGACACCUACGGGAGGCGGCAGUGAGGAAUAUUGGUCAAUGGGCGCUAGCCUGAACCAGCCAAGUAGCGUGAAGGAUGAAGGCUCUAUGGGUCGUAAACUUCUUUUAUAUAAGAAUAAAGUGCAGUAUGUAUACUGUUUUGUAUGUAUUAUAUGAAUAAGGAUCGGCUAACUCCGUGCCAACAGCCGCGGUAAUCUGAGCGGGCUGGCAAGGC
rnacentral:rRNA from 1 species